rnacentral:lncRNA from 1 species
CUCUCACUGUUCUAGAAAUACUCCCAUUAGCCUAUGAUCUUUGCUUUGGCAUGGAGUCUGAUGACACAUUGAUACCAUUUUCUGCCUGUUAACCUACCAAAGGACACAAAACCCUCUUCAUUUCCCUAGAAGUACAUGUAAUAUUUCAAAAUGUAUCACGGGGCACAGCCAUCCCAGGAAAAAGAUGUAAGGUAAUGAGAUAACGUGAAGAAUUCUAGGCACUGAAACUCAAUUCUGGUGGUGAUUUUAGUCUGAGGAAACACAACAAAGGCCAAGAAGAAUGGGAUCGUCAUGACUGGCUGGGAAAUGAAUCAUGGGCAGCCCAGACGCAGGGCUUUGAUCAGUCCAGCUUCCUCCUCCUAAGAAGUUUCCACCAGAACAUUGCUUGGUGACAUAGUGGUCUUCACCCUGAGCGUCUACAAAUGUAUGUUAAGUUGCUAUUAAGGACCUGUGGACAGAGAAGGCACACCACCACAGUGCUGUUAUAACCAAUACCAAUGAACAGAAACUACAGGGCACAGUGGAGACCCCCUGCAUUGCUGUAGUAUGCGUGCCUGCUGAUGAGAUGCAAAUAAACACAUGGGGUCACUCACGAGGAAUUCUUACCAAAACUGUCUAACCUGAAUCCAGCCAAGCUUUAAUCUAACCUCCGCUAUACAAGAAAUACAGAGAACAGAGGAAAAAGUUAAAGGACACCACAAGGAAACAGACAACCCAGAAAGUAGAAUGUUGUACAGAAAAACAAGUUAAGUCUCUUCAAUGGGUCAAUUUCAUCAAGAAUAAAGAAGCUGAGAAGGAACUCUUGUUUAAGAGACAUCGUAAAUGCACACUUUGAAAUACAUUCUGGUUUGAACAAAUUGUAAUAGUUAUAAAAGAUAUUUAGGAAAAUAGUGGAAAUUUGAAUAUGGGCUGUGUAUUAAAUUAUGUUAGAGAAUGAUUGUUAAUUUCAUUGGGUGGGAUGAUGCUAUUGUGGCUAUAUUUUAAAAGCCAUUAUUAUUUUAUGUAUGCAUUCUGGAUUAUUUAGAGUGGAAUAUUAACAGUAAUUUUCUUUAAAAUAGUCCAGAAAGAAAGAUAAAGAAAUAUGGCAAAUUGUUACGUAAGUUGGGUUUAUGCUUGUUCAUUAUACCAUUCUCUCUGCUUUUCUGCUAUGUUUUGAAAUUUUUUAUAAUAAUAAAAUUACCUUUGCUGGGGGAAGAGUGUUGGGAGGUAGAUUUCACAGAGAUGGUUGGAUCUGAGUAAUAACUAAAUUGAAGUAGUUAUGAGUGUCUUACAACGAAUGUCAAGAUGGAGUCAGCCCAUGCCACUGGAAGUCAUUUGAACUAUUAAAGAAGUCUCUACAACCAGUUAUAGAAUUACUUAUUUGCAUAAUUUUCUUAUUUGAAAGAUCUUUAGUUACCACCUGAUCCAACCAUAACAUUUUGUAGAAAAGAGAAGAGAGAUCAAAAUAAGUGAGGAUGUUGCUUAGUUUUUGUUGCCACCAGAAAAAUCAAUCCUCUUGACUUUGAGCCCACUCCUUCUUCUACUCAAUCCAAUUCUUAAUCUAAAAUUCCAUGACACUCUCUC